AAAGGUACGUAGAAUUUAUAAGAAGCGAGAAGACGUUUAUUUUAGUCUAUCCUAGUGUAGAUAAAGCAGUAACAGUACUUCAGAUCUUGGGUCGUAAAGCGAGUUGCAGGGGCCGUAGCGACAAGCAGAGAGAAACACGGAGUAAGAAACGACGCGCGAAUGGCGAACAUGCCCGGGGCCUUACUCACCUGCCACGACGUAUCGCGCCCGCAUUGUCGUUGACCGGUCUAAAGAUCUGCAAUCGAACUCGAGGACACCCGCACUUACGGCGUCUCUUGUUGCACAUUCACUCGCGAGACAUCCUCGGUCACCGCACUCGUCCCUUUUAUUUUACAGUGAUUUAGGCAAGAUGCACGCUUUUGCUUUUCACGCACUAUAGAGCGGCACUGGUCGCUUCGCUCCUUCACGUAAUACAUCCACCCGCACCGACUAUGACCGUCGAGAAACACACACCGAGCGAGACUGCGGCGGCUCUUCUGGAGAACGUUCGGUUGCUAUUGUGAAAUCUCCCUCCAUCGACUCCGAGCACCAUCGCCACGGCACUAGCAUGCUACGGCCCUGUGUCGUUACCGACACC
rnacentral:misc_RNA from 1 species